UUCCUACGGGACGCAGCAGUGGGGAAUAUUGCACAAUGGGGGAAACCCUGAUGCAGCAACGCCGCGUGGGUGAAGGAGCGUUUCGGCGCGUAAAGCCCUGUCAGCGGGGAAGAAGAAAGACGGUACCCGACCAAGAAGCCCCGGCUAACUACGUGCCAGCAGCCGCGGUAAUACGUAGGGGGCGAGCGUUAUCCGGAAUUACUGGGUGUAAAGGGAGCGUAGACGGCGAGGUAAGCCUGAAGUGGAAGCCCGCGGCCCAACCCCCGGACUGCUUUGGAAACUGUGCUGCUGGAGGGGAGGAGAGG
rnacentral:rRNA from 1 species